rnacentral:lncRNA from 1 species
GACGGAGUCCUCUAGCUUUUGCCUGACUGGAGGGAGGAGGUGGGACGUGCGCGAGUCGCUUGCUUUACCCGGGCUCUACGAAGGCUCGGGCGGGAAGUCGGCUGUCUCAUGCUUCUCUCUUCGGGCUCGGCGAAAAAAAGUUGUUGCAGUUUUAUCUUUCCACAAGGCGAGAGGAGACGAGUUGGGGAAAACGGACGGCUGCAUGCAGUGGCCCAACUGGUCGAUGGCUUCAUCUGUGGGUGGCCCCAUCACUGGAGGAUCACCAUGGCGACGUGAUCAAAAUUCAGACGCUUCGCAACUGACUCAUAUUUAUGACAAUUGCAGUGCCCUGAUAUCAUGUGAUCACCUUUGGCAACCUUCUGAUUAGCAGAAUCAAUAGGGAAGCGAGAUAUAACCGUCAUUACCAGAAGCAAUUUGCCAUCACCUGAAACUCUUGUCUAGUAAACUGCAACAUCCAAGUACUAAUCGGCAUCAAACCUCAUAGCUAUACCAGCUGCUGAGAUGUAACUGCAUAGGUAUUAUCCACAAAAAUUUGAAAUAAAGAGGCAAAUAUAGAUACACACAAAGUAAACUCUUCUUUUCAAGAUCAAUCAAAUGUAAUCACUCAGCUAUGUCGGAAUAGCACUGUGAUCUUCAAGAAUUCCAGAGGACCUGCCUCCUCCAAAGGAAUUUGCAAGUUACCAGUACAUCCCAAUUACCCUUUAAAAGUGUAUGUAUGAUAAUCUGAGCAAUCAAAGAUCCUGGAAUUUUUGCUUUAUAAUGAUACUGAGCAUUGAUCCUUAUAUACUUCUCUUCCUAUUAGGUCCUCUUUUGUCUG